rnacentral:rRNA from 1 species
GACGAACGCUGGCGGCGUGCCUAAUACAUGCAAGUAGAACGCUGAAGGAAGGAGCUUGCUCUUUCCGGAUGAGUUGCGAACGGGUGAGUAACGCGUAGGUAACCUGCCUGGUAGCGGGGGAUAACUAUUGGAAACGAUAGCUAAUACCGCAUAACAGUAGAUAUCGCAUGAUAGCUGCUUGAAAGGUGCAAAUGCACCACUACCAGAUGGACCUGCGUUGUAUUAGCUAGUUGGUGAGGUAACGGCUCACCAAGGCAACGAUACAUAGCCGACCUGAGAGGGUGAUCGGCCACACUGGGACUGAGACACGGCCCAGACUCCUACGGGAGGCAGCAGUAGGGAAUCUUCGGCAAUGGACGGAAGUCUGACCGAGCAACGCCGCGUGAGUGAAGAAGGUUUUCGGAUCGUAAAGCUCUGUUGUAAGAGAAGAACGAGUGUGAGAGUGGAAAGUUCACACUGUGACAGUAUCUUACCAGAAAGGGACGGCUAACUACGUGCCAGCAGCCGCAGUAA